rnacentral:rRNA from 1 species
GACGAACGCUGGCGGCGUGCUUAACACAUGCAAGUCGAACGGAAAGGCCCUGCUUUUGUGGGGUGCUCGAGUGGCGAACGGGUGAGUAACACGUGAGUAACCUGCCCUUGACUUUGGGAUAACUUCAGGAAACUGGGGCUAAUACCGGAUAGGAGCUCCUGCUGCAUGGUGGGGGUUGGAAAGUUUCGGCGGUUGGGGAUGGACUCGCGGCUUAUCAGCUUGUUGGUGGGGUAGUGGCUUACCAAGGCUUUGACGGGUAGCCGGCCUGAGAGGGUGACCGGCCACAAUGGGACUGAGAUACGGCGCAGACUGCUACGGGAGGCAGCGGGGGAGAAUAUUGCACAGUGGGCGGAAGCCUGAUGCGACAACGCCGCGUGCGGGAUGACGGCCUUCGGGUUGUAAACCGCUUUCGCCUGUGACGAAGCGUGAGUGACGGUAAUGGGUAAAGAAGCACCGGCUAACUACGUG